UGCCAGGAGAGUGUGAUUGAUCGCUUGCCUGGCCCGUCUGGUCUCUAAUGACUGUUCCUUUUUUUGGUUCACUGAUCAUGGAUCUGCCAUAAACCUUGGGAUUUUCAUAUGGGCUUCUACCCCACAGAUCUUAUUUUUCUUGUUACAGGGGACAGAUGAGGCAAGACACCAUGAACAUGAAUCAGGUUUAUUUGGCUAUAGCCAGGUUCAGAGGGCAAAGAUUUUGCUGUAAUCAAUAAAUCCCCGCAAACCCCGAGAUCAGGCAGUUUAGAACUUUAUACCGGCUUGUAGGUGGAGGGGCUCAGAAGUUCACAGUCUGUAGAAGUUCACACAAAAGCAGCUUUUUCUUUCACUAUUCAGGGCAAGAAAAACCAGCAAGGACAGCCCAGAAGAGAGAGAGAGCUUCUUCUCCCCUUUCUUCCCUCCCACUGCCAGCUGUUACCACUGAGCCCAAUUGGCAACCUCUUCUCCUCUUUGAAAUGUAAACAUCUCUGAAGCUCAGGUCCAAGGUCAGAGACCUAGUUAAAAGAAUCUAUUUUUCCUAUCACUCUCUGGAUUUGCAAACACAUUCUGCAAACUACUACACUAGGAAAGGGGCCUUCAGCACCUGGGUGCUGAUCUCUUCCAGAAUGGCGGCCAAGUAAGACAGAGCGACAGGAAAUAGGAAGUUUAAUUACACUGAACUCUUUUGUAGAGACUCUUGGCUGAUAGUCCGAAGAUCAGUUAUAGUGAAGGUUUUUGGAGAAGCUCAGAGAAGAUUUUCUGGGAGGAGUGGGUGCCGCUACCCCUCAGUGCUCUUUCCUGUCCUGGAAUUUACCUUCUCCCUCUCCAACCCUUUGCUUUCUUCAGGACUAACCCUGCUCCUCUUCCCCUUGCGCUGCCAGUCAAGAAGCGUUGGGCACAUUUGGCAGGUGCAGAGAGAACUGUAAAGAGAAUGAAGUAUUCUAUCCAUUGUGCAAAGAAGAGGGUAAGUGCUGUGUGGACCCCAAGUAUGUCCGAUUUAAACCGAAGACCUUAAAGAACCAGUUGGGAACCAAAAAUUAACUUCUGCAGACUGACUCUCUUCCGACCUUGAGUCUCAGGAGCAUUGGAAACCACAGCUCCAGCAAAUCAUGCAGCGCCGCUCCCUGUUUCUGAUUGACAGUUCCAUCUAGUUCAACUUGGAGACAGAGAAGGAAAAUGUGUGCGUGUGUGCGUGUGUGUGUGUGUGUGUGUGUGUGUGUUGGGAAGAACAGGAUGAAGCAGUACGUGGUAAUAGCCUUAUCCUUUGGCAAUAAUUCCCAACCUGCCAGCCCCUAGUUGGUCCACAGGAUAUUAAUAAGGAAUAUUUAUCAUAUUCAUUUAAUUCUUUUUUUUCUUCUAGACUAACACCCAUAGAACCUUCUAAAUGAUGAAAAUGUCCCAGGUUUGGUUGUCCAAUAUGAUAGGUACUAGUCAGCUGCAUGUAGCUACUGAGCACUUGAAAUAUGGUAGUAUGACUGGGGGACUGAAUUUUUAAGUUAAUUUAAUGUAAUCUAUGUUUAAAUAUAUAGCUACAUGUGGUUAGAGUCUAGAGACGUUAGGCUGAGGCAGGCUGUAGACCCCAAUCCCUGGGUAUUUCAGGGGAGUCAAAGAGGCAAGCAAGAAUCCAGGGUGAACACAGAACUAAUUUUAAAAAAUAUUAAUUUUUUUAGCUAUAGGUGGACACAAUAUCUUCAUUUUAUUUUUAUGUGGUGCUGAGGAUCGAGCCCAGUGCCUCCCGCAUGGUAGGCAGGCGCUCUACCUCUGAGCCCCAGCCCCAGCCCCAGCCCCAGAACUCAUUCUUGGCCCGCUGCUUCUCUCUGCUUCUCCAACAACGGCCUCACUUUUCUCCUGAUCAUAUGGGCAAUUCUGCCCUCCAGGGACUCCAAAAUCACGCCUCUGACACAUCUCCUCACCUUGGAGGGAGCUGGGACCAGGUCCUGGGCUCCAUCAUUUUUUUUUCCUCUAGCUGGGUCACCAGACACUGGACCAGGAUUGAUCCUGAACUGAAAAAAAAAAUAAAACAGGGAUUUGGCCACUUUUCACCCCAUGAUCUGGGUCAUCAUGGCCCCAGUAUCUCCAACCUUUAUCAGACCAACCAGAAAGAACAGGAUUCCUCACCGUGGGCCAGGAAGUUUCAUCCUGAACACCCCUCUCCUAUCCACUAAAUGACAUCCUCAAUCCCUUUUAUUUUGAGACAGGGGCUUACUAAGUUGCUGAGGCUGGCCUCAAACUUGUGAUCCUCCUGCUUUAGCCUCCGACUUGUUGGGAUUUCAGGCAUGCACCACUGUAUCCAGCUACCUACGGUUGUUGAUAAAUGCAAAUUGAAUCUAGGUUUAUCCUUUCAGGCCCUAUCCUAGCAGUUUUCUGCCUAUAAAAAGUUAAGAUCCUCCUUCCUAUUUUGCUUCCAACUCUUACUUUCCACAAUCAAUCCCUCUUAGAAUUGAGCUGAGGGCCCUGACCCCACACUUUUCCUCUAAUUAUCUCACCCUCCUGACUCCAUUUUGCCCCACCCGGCUUCCGGCUUCCAUAUCACAAUCUGCUUUGUGGCCUCUCUCUCCCCUCGCUGCAUGGUGUCAAUCUCAAAUUCCUAACCAUGAAAGAAUAGCCCCCCUUGCCUUCAAGUUGGGGGCCUCAACUCUGCCCGACCCGUCUCCUGCUUCUCCUUAAGCUUCAUUUCUCACUUUCUGAAAUGGCUAUUCUAUGAUUUUCCCCUCUUCUCAAUCUUCUAUCACUCUCUCCCUCUAAAAUAUCACCAGAAGCAAAUGCAUAUUCUCUUUACUAAGCCUAUGCUCCCCUGCAUCUGUCUGUAACUCCUGUCUCCCUUUUGUUUCCAACUAAAGAACGUCUAUCCCGAGAAACAAGCCCACACCCCAUCUCCCCUUCCUACUCCAGGACCUCUGUUGAACACUGACACUAAGAAAAGAUCACCAACCCCAAUGUUAAAUCAAAUUAAAGCAAGCUUGUAUUUGUGUACACAAAGGCUGGCCAGCGACUGUCUCACCCGAAAUCCCGGGCUAGAGAUCAGUCCCCCAGCUUUCCAGGGACAGGGCUUUAUAGCACAAAAAGUUGCAAAGGAGGGUGUCUUGAGAACUUACAGAUAAGAGGAUUUUGACAAGCAUAAUAUAAAGGCAGGUAGCAGGUUAAUGAUCUACAUGGCUUGAAUAGUUCAAGGUGGGGAGUAAAUUCAGAUCCCAACAUCAGAAUUUAGGAGGCACCGCUGAGGUUUCAGAGAGGGUUGUUUUCUGGUCAGGGGGAGCCAGGCAUGGGUGAGUUCAAGGCACGGGCAGGAAUUCCAAACAAGUUCAGAAAUCACAGUAAUUUAUAGUAAAAUAGAAAUUAACUUUUCAUGACUUUGUGAUGAGAUCUUAAAAUGGAAUUAGGCUGGGUCCACCACCUCACCUUCUAUGAUCCUCUUCAUUUUUCUCUUCUGUGCCAGACCAUUUCACUCAUACCAAAACAAAACAAAAACAAAAACAAAACUAAUACUCCCUCCUUUAAAACAUCUCCCAAUCCCACAUUUUUCCCCGGACAGAGCCUCACUUCUUUGUAGACCUUCAAAGAAAACCUUAAAAGGCGUGUCUUUGCUUUAUCCAUUUUAAAUUUCUCAAUCAUUUCUUCAGCUUGACCCAGCUGGGUUUCAUGUGACACUGAAAUUUCUUCCAUGAAGCUUCCCAGCCGUCUCCGGCAUUGCCAAUCCCAGAAGGGUCCCUCGUUUUCCUCUAAUUGAUUCUGAGCAAGUGCUUGACGUGUGGACCACAAUCUCCUCAUUCAAAUGCUUUCUUCUGUUGAUUCUAAGGUACUACAUCCUCCGUUUUGAUAUGUGGCUAUUGCUUUUCAGCCUUCCCUCCCAAAUGCCAGGCCUGUUUAUAUGUCUUUUCUUUUCUCUGCCUACUCCUUUUUUUUUAGUAGAUACCUCGAGUACUCUCUAUAGACCGAUCACUUUCACAUUCAUAUCUCCCCUGCCAAGCUAUCACCCCUGGACGGGCGUAUCUGCUCCCUGAAUGACAUCUCCAUUUGGUGCCUCCUGACAUAGCCAGAACGGAACUCCCGGUGGGGACCUCACCUCAUCAAGCCUUGUUACCUCCUUUCUUCUUCCUGUCUUGAUAAGUGGUACCAACACGGGCCCAGUUUCUCCAAACCUAGAUGGCUUCCUGGACUCCUCACUUGGGCUCACUGAAUUCAAUCUAUCAGCAAGUCCCGCGGCUCCAUCUUUAAAAGACUUCUCAAACAUCGACUUCUUUCCAACUAAUUGACCCAGAGAAGGUUCGUCUGUCCUUUGGUAGCCAUUCAAGAAUUUAUGGCAGCUCUACCCCAUCCCGACGCCUGAGACUUUUGAUGCUUUCCUCUUGUUUUCUCCCAUCCCCUAAGGCCCCUUGACUCUUUCUCUGUUUUUGUGCAAGCCUUGCUGUUUGGGGGCUUCUCUGUCCCUCACUAGCAUCCCCUCUCCUCCUUUCCUGUCCUGGCCUUCCCUGAGUUUUGCUGCUGUUCCCCUAAUGUCCCUGCUAGGUGGUCCCUCUUUCUAGCCUUCAAUCCUUUUGGAAUUCAGCAACAUUCCUGCAACAUAGUUGACAAUGAAACAUCUUGACUUUUUUAUUGCUUGUGACAUUAGAGUUCAUCAGGGACCAACCUAAGCAGAAAGGAUAUUUCUUAGAAGGAUAUGGUGUGCCUCAUAGAAUUGACUGGAAGUCUAGAUGAUUGGAAGAACUGAGGGAGAGUGGGCAGAAGUAUUAGCCUGAAGAGGUCCUAUAGCAAGCUUUGCUACCUUGGCCCUGGGCACGGGCAUCAUCCCACCUGGGCUCUUGCCGUUGCUGCUGUACUUUCCCAGUUCCCCUGAGAUUUGGGUUGAGCUCUUUGAGACUCAGUCCUUGGCUGGAACAUCCCGUUGGCUGAGCCAGGAGCACACACUUGUUUGCUAACUCCCCGCAGAGAGUAUUCACCUUCAGAGCUCCCUGUGGUGGAGGGUCAGCCCUCUCUUCCACCAAGACCCACAGAACAGAGAGUAACUCCUAGAUGGAAUGAGGCCAAGUGUCCAAAGACACAGCACGUGACCACUAGAGGGAAUGUCACCCAGAGCCUUUGCCUUCCUGCAGAGUGUUUUCCCUCCCACUUUGACCCUUCUGAUUGCCAAGAGAGGGGGUGCCUGGGAUGCCACACACAAAUGAGGCGCUCACUCUCAGGGUUGUGUCCUUAACUGUCACUCCUCAGGCAGUCUCACCUCCCCCUUAUCCCGACCCUGCCAGCUGCAUUCUGCACUUCUUGGCAGCACCCAGCCACCUGUACUUAAUACCUGUCCAGGAGGGUGCAAUGCUGAGCACCUUGCAGCUCCAGCUCCUCGGGAGGCUGAGGUGGGAGGAUCACUGGAGCCCAGGAGUUGGAGACCAGACUGGGUCACAUAGUGAGACCCCGUCUCCAAUAAACAAAAGGGCAAAUUUGCUCAGUGUCUGUCUUCCUGACAAUCUUCAUGAAGAUGACUGAUUUAUUUUCUGUACUCAGAACAGCCUUGGUGCAAAUAUUGGUGUUCAAUCAGUAUUUGUUGAGUAAUUGACUUAAGGAGAUAAAAAUCUGGCUUAAAAUAGCAAAAAUGAUCUUAUAAGAAAGUUCCUCUUUGUAGGUAUACAUUCCCAUGGGAAUAGUAAAAGUGUUUGAUAUGUAAUAAAUGCCAGAGCUACUAAAAUACAGAUUGAAAUGAAAGGACAAGACAGUGGGGAUGGGGUGAGGUGGGGGAGUGGGAGUCUUAUCCAUUGCUGCAAAGGUCGAUGGUCACGAGUUAGUACUUCCAUUGUUAAUAAGGAGGCUAAAGGGCAUGCUCUUGGGAAUCAGGUGAUGUCUUCUUUCACUGUCCGGUGGGUUUUUUUUUUUUUUGUAUUGGGUUUGAACUCAGGCUGAGCCACAUCCUUAGCCCUGUUUUGUGUUUUAUUUAAAGACAGGAUCUCACUGAGUUUCUUAGCACCUUGCUGUUGUAGAGGCUGGCUUUGAACUUGUGAUCCUCCUUUCUCGGUCUCCUGAGCCGCUGGGAUUACAGGUGUACGCCACCACACCUGGCUGUCUGGUAUUCUUAAGAGCAAGAUAGGAUAUACUAAUAGGGUCAGCUACAUAAAG
rnacentral:lncRNA from 1 species